UACGUAGGGGGCAAGCGUUGUCCGGAUUCACUGGGUGUAAAGGGCGCGUAGGCGGGUUAGCAAGUCAGAGGUGAAAUCUCCCGGCUCACCCGGGAAACUGCCUUUGAAACUGUUAAUCUUGAGUGCGGAAGAGAGAGACGGAAUUCCAGGUGUAGCGGUGAAAUGCGUAGAUAUCUGGAGGAACACCGGUUGCGAAGGCGGUCUCUUGGUCCGUAACUGAAGCGCAGGCGCGAAAGCGUGGGUAGCAAACAGGAUUCGAUAACAGUGGAGUCC
rnacentral:rRNA from 1 species